CCUACGGGAGGCAGCAGUGAGGAAUAUUGGUCAAUGGGCGGAAGCCUGAACCAGCCAAGUAGCGUGCAGGAUGAAGGCCUUACGGGUUGUAAACUGCAUUUAUACGGGAAUAACGCGCCUUACGUGUAGGGCUUUGCAUGUACCGUAUGAAUAAGGACCGGCUAAUUCCGCGCAAGCAGCCGCGGUAAUACGGAAGGGUCGGGCGUUAUCCGGAUUUAUUGGGUUUAAAGGGAGCGUAGACCGGAUGUCAAGCGUGCUGUGAAAUGUCCGGGCUCAACCCGGGCCUUGCAGCGCGAACUGGCGUGCGUGAGUCCGCGGAAAGCAGGCGGAAUUCGUAGUGUAGCGGUGAAAUGCUUAGAUAUGACGAAGAACCCCGAUUGCGAAGGCAGCUUGCUGCAGCGGAACUGACGCUGAUGCUCGAAAGCGCGGGUAUCGAACAGGAUUAGAUACCCGGGUAGUC
rnacentral:rRNA from 1 species